rnacentral:pre_miRNA from 1 species
ACAAUAUUCGGACCGUCGGUCCACCGAGCAAUAUCACCCGCUCGGUGGAAGAUCUUCCCUCCGUCGU